rnacentral:rRNA from 1 species
AUUGAACGCUAGCGGCAUGCCUAACACAUGCAAGUCGAACGGUAACAGGCCUUCGGGCGCUGACGAGUGGCGGACGGGUGAGUAACGCGUGGGAAUCUGCCUAGUAGUGGGGGACAACCUGGGGAAACUCAGGCUAAUACCGCAUACGCCCUACGGGGGAAAGCAGGGGAUCUUCGGACCUUGCGCUAUUAGAUGAGCCUGCGUCGGAUUAGCUUGUUGGUGGGGUAAAGGCCUACCAAGGCGACGAUCCGUAGCUGGGUUUGAGAGGACGAUCAGCCACACUGGGACUGAGACACGGCCCAGACUCCUACGGGAGGCAGCAGUGGGGAAUAUUGGACAAUGGGGGCAACCCUGAUCCAGCAAUGCCGCGUGUGUGAAGAAGGCCUGCGGGUUGUAAAGCACUUUCGGAUGGGAAGAAAAGCUCAAGGCUAAUAUCCUUGAGUCUUGACGUUACUAUCAGAAGAAGCACCGGCUAACUCUGUG